GAUGAAGAACGUAGCGAAAUGCGAUACGUAAUGUGAAUUGCAAAUUCAGUGAAUCAUCGAGUCUUUGAACGCACAUUGCGCCCCCUGGUAUUCCGGGGGGCAUGCCUGUCCGAGCGUCAUUGCUGCCCUCAAGCACGGCUUGUGUGUUGGGCCCCGUCCUCCGAUCCCGGGGGACGGGCCCGAAAGGCAGCGGCGGCACCGCGUCCGGUCCUCGAGCGUAUGGGGCUUUGUCACCCGCUCUGUAGGCCCGGCCGGCGCUUGCCGAUCAACCCAAAUUUUUAUCCAGGUUGACCUCGGAUCAGGUAGGGAUACCCGCUGAACUUAAGCAUAUCAAUAAGCCGAGGA
rnacentral:misc_RNA from 1 species